rnacentral:rRNA from 1 species
CAGUAGGGAAUCUUCCGCAAUGGACGAAAGUCUGACGGAGCAACGCCGCGUGAGUGAUGAAGGCUUUCGGGUCGUAAAACUCUGUUGUUAGGGAAGAACAAGUACAAGAGUAACUGCUUGUACCUUGACGGUACCUAACCAGAAAGCCACGGCUAACUACGUGCCAGCAGCCGCGGUAAUACGUAGGUGGCAAGCGUUAUCCGGAAUUAUUGGGCGUAAAGCGCGCGCAGGCGGUUUCUUAAGUCUGAUGUGAAAGCCCACGGCUCAACCGUGGAGGGUCAUUGGAAACUGGGGAACUUGAGUGCAGAAGAGAAAAGCGGAAUUCCACGUGUAGCGGUGAAAUGCGUAGAGAUGUGGAGGAACACCAGUGGCGAAGGCGGCUUUUUGGUCUGUAACUGACGCUGAGGCGCGAAAGCGUGGGGAGCAAACAGGAUUAGAUAC